rnacentral:rRNA from 1 species
CAGCCUACGGGGGGCAGCAGUGGGGAAUAUUGCACAAUGGGGGAAACCCUGAUGCAGCCCCUCCUCUUUCUUUAAGAAGGUUUUCGGAUUGUAAAGCUCUGUUAGCAGGGAAGAGGAAGGACGGUACCUGCAGAGGAAGCCACGGCUAACUACGUGCCAGCAGCCGCGGUAAUACGUAGAUGGCAAGCGUUGUUCGGAAUAACUGGGCGUAAAGGAUGCGUAGGCGGUUAAACAAGUUAUAUGUUAAAUAUAUAGGCUUAACCUGUAGAAAGCAUAUAAAAAUGUUUAACUAGAG